rnacentral:rRNA from 1 species
GGCGGAAUUCGUGGUGUAGCGGUGAAAUGCUUAGAUAUCACGAAGAACUCCGAUUGCGAAGGCAGCUCACUGGAGCGCAACUGACGCUGAAGCUCGAAAGUGCGGGUAUCGAACAGGAUUAGAUACCCUGGUAGUCCGCACGGUAAACGAUGGAUGCCCGCUGUUGGUCUGAAUAGGUCAGCGGCCAAGCGAAAGCAUUAAGCAUCCCACCUGGGGAGUACGCCGGCAACGGUGAAACUCAAAGGAAUUGACGGGGGCCCGCACAAGCGGAGGAACAUGUGGUUUAAUUCGAUGAUACGCGAGGAACCUUACCCGGGCUUGAAUUGCAGAGGAAGGAUUUGGAGACAAUGACGCCCUUCGGGGUCUCUGUGAAGGUGCUGCAUGGUUGUCGUCAGCUCGUGCCGUGAGGUGUCGGCUUAAGUGCCAUAACGAGCGCAACCCCUCUCCUUAGUUGCCAUCAGGUCAUGCUGGGCACUCUGGGGACACUGCCACCGUAAGGUGUGAGGAAGGUGGGGAUGACGUCAAAUCAGCACGGCCCUUACGUCCGGGGCUACACACGUGUUACAAUGGCAGGUACAGAGAGAUGGUCCCUUGCAAAACGGAUCAAAUCCUUAAAGCCUGUCUCAGUUCGGACUGGGGUCUGCAACCCGACCCCACGAAGCUGGAUUCGCUAGUAAUCGCGCAUCAGCCAUGGCGCGGUGAAUACGUUCCCGGGCCUUGUACACACCGCCCGUCAAGCCAUGAAAGCCGGGGGCGCCUAAAGUCCGUGACCGUAAGGAGCGGCCUAGGGUGAAACUGGUAAUUGGGGCUAAGUCGUAACAAGGUAGCCGUACCGGAAGGUGCGGCUG